AAUAAGUGCGGUUUUGCACUAUUCAUGUCCAACGUUUGAUCGUUCGUCUUAUUUGAUUUUCUUUUAUGAUUAGUAUUUUUAUUGUUAUUAGAUGAUAAAACAUGAAUAUUACUUUAUGUGCGACUAAUUUUUUAAAAUUUCUUUAUAAUUUUUUUCAAAUAAGACGGACGGUCAAAUGUUGGACACGUAUUCCCACGAGUGCACUUAUU
rfam:Oryza sativa Japonica Group DNA, chromosome 6, cultivar: Nipponbare, complete sequence.